GAUGAACGCUGGCGGCGUGCCCAAUACAUGCAAGUCGAGCGAACAGACGAGGAGCUUGCUCCUCUGACGUUAGCGGCGGACGGGUGAGUAACACGUGGAUAACCUACCUAUAAGACUGGGAUAACUUCGGGAAACCGGAGCUAAUACCGGAUAAUAUAUUGAACCGCAUGGUUCAAUAGUGAACGACGGUUUUGCUGUCACUUAUAGAUGGAUCCGCGCCGCAUUAGCUAGUUGGUAAGGUAACGGCUUACCAAGGCAACGAUGCGUAGCCGACCUGAGAGGGUGAUCGGCCACACUGGAACUGAGACACGGUCCAGACUCCUACGGGAGGCAGCAGUAGGGAAUCUUCCGCAAUGGGCGAAAGCCUGACGGAGCAACGCCGCGUGAGUGAUGAAGGUCUUCGGAUCGUAAAACUCUGUUAUUAGGGAAGAACAAAUGUGUAAGUAACUAUGCACGUCUUGACGGUACCUAAUCAGAAAGCCACGGCUAACUACGUG
rnacentral:rRNA from 1 species